rnacentral:rRNA from 1 species
AGUGAACGCUGGCGGUAGGCCUAACACAUGCAAGUCGAACGGCAGCACAGUAAGAGCUUGCUCUUACGGGUGGCGAGUGGCGGACGGGUGAGGAAUACAUCGGAAUCUACUUUUUCGUGGGGGAUAACGUAGGGAAACUUACGCUAAUACCGCAUACGACCUACGGGUGAAAGCAGGGGAUCUUCGGACCUUGCGCGAUUGAAUGAGCCGAUGUCGGAUUAGCUAAUUGGCGGGGUAAAGGCCCACCAAGGCGACGAUCCGUAGCUGGUCUGAGAGGAUGAUCAGCCACACUGGAACUGAGACACGGUCCAGACUCCUACGGGAGGCAGCAGUGGGGAAUAUUGGACAAUGGGCGCAAGCCUGAUCCAGCCAUACCGCGUGGGUGAAGAAGGCCUUCGGGUUGUAAAGCCCUUUUGUUGGGAAAGAAAAGCAGCAGGUUAAUACCCCGCUGUUCUGACGGUACCCAAAGAAUAAGCACCGGCUAACUUCGU